CGGGGUUCAUUUUGUUGCUUCAGGAUCGUCGUAUGGAUUAUUAGGAUAGCUGGGGGGUUUGUAUUCCGUCGCCAAAGGGGAAAUUCUGGAAUUGCCGAAAAACAACCUACGGCAAAAGCUUUUGCCAGGGAGGUUUUCUUUGAUCAAGAACGAAGGAAGGGGGAUCGAAAACGAUCAGAUACCGUUGUAGUCUCUUCUGUAAACUAUGCCAAUUGGGGAUCGGACCAGGAUUUUCAAUGACUGUGUCGGCACCCUAAGAGAAAUCUUUAAAUGAGGUUCGGGGGGGAGUAUGGUCGCAAGGCUGAAACUUAAAGGAAUUGACGGAAGGGCACCACCAGGGGUGGAGCCUGCGGCUUAAUUUGACUCAACACGGGGAAACUCACCAGGUCCAAACACAAUAAGGAUUGACAGAUUGAUAGCUCUUUCUUGAUCUUGUGGUUGGGGGGGCAUGGCCGUUCUUAAUUGGUGGAGUGAUUUGUCUGGCUAAUUCCGAUAACGAACGAAACCUUAACCUGCUAAAUAAACCCGCCGGCUUUGGCUGGCUGCUGUCUUCUUAAAGGGACUAUUUGCGUUUAGCUGAUGGAAGUUUGAGGCAAUAACAGGUCUGUGAUGCCCUUAGAUGUUCUGGGCCGCACGCGCGCUACACUGACAGAGCCAGCGAGUCUUCUCUCCUUUGCCAGAGGGCAUGGGUAAUCUGGUGAAACUCUGUCGUGUGGGGAUAAAGCCAUUGACAAUAAA
rnacentral:rRNA from 1 species